CUCGAGCAGAGGGGCAUUUCGUCUGCGGAAGCAUUUAUUUACUGACGAUCAAGAUGUGCACUUGAGACAACAAACCUUUAAGUUUUGUCUUAAGAUGCUGUAUGUGGAGACCGACGAUCGUGAGAUAAUAGGAGUCACAUAAAACACAAGGCUUUAAAAAAUGUACCAGCUUCAGGAUUGAGUCGCUCUUACUGCGACCUUUGGCGAAUUCGUUUUUGGCAGGUUGAGAUGGAUUUUCCAAGUCAUGGCUCACAACUGUCUUUGGCCUUUUUGCCCUCCAAGUCUGUUGUACAUGGGAGAUGUGAUGCGACCCCACUAUAUAUAAUUGGUACUAUUGACAGAGUGGAUAGGUGUGACAUUUACUGAGCCUAGCUGGUAUUCAAGAGAAGGUAAUUGGUACCAGAAGCUUACUACUGGUAUAAAUGAUCAAUCUUUUGUUCACUCCUUCCAAGUUGCCUCAACUAGCUUGUGCUAUAUGCAACUUGUGUCUAAACCUUAUUUGCGACUGAAAAAUUACCAAUAAAGUUUUUGAAAGUUUUUCCUAAUUUUAUUGGAAAAGAAUGUAAGGAGUGAUCAGGUGAA